rnacentral:rRNA from 1 species
AGGGUUUGAUCAUGGCUCAGAAUGAACGUUGGCGGCGUGGAUUAGGCAUGCAAGUCGCGCGAGAAGGGUUUUAUGCUUGCAUUUGACCCGGAAAGCGGCGAAAGGGAGAGUAACGCGUAGAUACCUACCCCCAGACCCGGGAUAGCGGCGGGAAACUGCCGGUAAUACCGGAUAAUGUCUCCGGACCAAAGGUGUGAUUCCGUCUGGGGAUGGGUCUGCGUCCUAUUAGCUUGUUGGUGGGGUAACGGCUCACCAAGGCCAAGAUGGGUAGCGGGUGUGAGAGCAUGGCCCGUCUCACUGGGACUGAGACACUGCCCAGACACCUACGGGUGGCUGCAGUCGAGAAUCUUCCGCAAUGGGCGAAAGCCUGACGGAGCGACGCCGCGUGCGGGAUGAAGGCCUUCGGGUUGUAAACCGCUGUCAGAGGGGAACAAAUCCAUGAGGGCAAUCCCUGAUGGUUGAGUUAUCCUCAGAGGAAGCGCAGGCUAAGUUCGUGCCAGCAGCCGCGGUAACACGAACUGCGCGAACGUUAUUCGGAUUUACUGGGCUUAAAGAGUUCGUAGGCGGCCUUGCAGGUGAGGUGUGAAAUCCCCCGGCUCAACCGGGGAACUGCGCUUCAAACCGCAAGGCUUGAGGGUGAUAGAGGUGAGCGGAACUCACGGUGGAGCGGUGAAAUGCGUUGAUAUCGUGAGGAACACCGGUGGCGAAAGCGGCUCACUGGGUCUCUUCUGACGCUGAGGAACGAAAGCUAGGGGAGCGAACGGGAUUAGAUACCCCGGUAGUCCUAGCUGUAAACGAUGAGCACUAGAUCGAGGGGACUUCCACAUCUUCUUGGUCGUAGCGAAAGUGUUAAGUGCUCCGCCUGGGGAGU